GUGGGGAAUAUUGGACAAUGGGCGCAAGCCUGAUCCAGCCAUGCCGCGUGAGUGAUGAAGGCCUUAGGGUUGUAAAGCUCUUUUGUCCGGGAAGAUAAUGACUGUACCGGAAGAAUAAGCCCCGGCUAACUUCGUGCCAGCAGCCGCGGUAAUACGAAGGGGGCUAGCGUUGCUCGGAAUCACUGGGCGUAAAGGGCGCGUAGGCGGACUCUUAAGUCGGGGGUGAAAGCCCAGGGCUCAACCCUGGAAUUGCCUUCGAUACUGGGAGUCUUGAGUUCGGAGGAGGUUGGUGGAACUGCGAGUGUAGAGGUGAAAUUCGUAGAGAUUCGCAAGAACACCAGUGGCGAAGGCGGCCAACUGGUCCGAUACUGACGCUGAGGCGCGAAAGCGUGGGGAGCAAACAGGAUUAGAAACCCUGGUAGUCC
rnacentral:rRNA from 1 species